CCAUGCGCGCCCCCACACUGAGCUCUUUCCUUCCUGCUUCUCCUUCUUCCCCAUCUCCUGCCCGAAGAUCCUCCGUGUUGGGCUGAACUUUUGCCCUCUCUUGUCCCCAUGUUAUGGAAGGGCAGCGGCUGGUGUCCCAGGCCAGCCUGUCUGGAGCCUCCCUGCGCGUCUCACAGCUCCCUUCCCAUGGUAGCGUGUUCCCAUGGCGCGGUGACCUACAAAUUACACAAGGGAUGCAUUUGCAAAGGACACUUUAUUUCUUGUUAAGGGUGACAGCCUGCAAGGUAGCCAUCCAGCAGCCUGGGAAGAGCAGCCUCUGGUUAACACCAGAGACAGACAUUUAGGAGCAGGAGGGGUUUGGGCAGGAGCUUUAUGCUGAAGAGGUUGGCUAAACAUACAUAUUCAACAGGCUACAGGAGGAGCUAUGAAUAUUCAUGUAGGUGGUUGCAGUCCAUGCUUAUUGAACAAACAUGUGUGGAACAUAUGAUCCCAGCCGGGCAUAGUGGCUGAUGCCUGUAAUCCCAGCACUUGGAGAGGCUGAGACAGGCGGAUCACCUGAGGUCAGGAGUUCGAGACCAGUCUGGCCAACAUGGUGAGACCCCAUCUCUACUAAAACUACAAAAUUAACCAGGUGUGGUGAUGCAUGCCUUUUACUCGGGAGGCUGAAGCAGAAGAAUCGCUUAAACUCGGGAGGCGGAGGUUGCAGUGAGUCCAGAUUGUGCCAUUGCAUUCCAGCCUGGACAAGAGGAGCAACACUCUGUCUCAAAAAAAAAAAAAAAAAAAAAAAAGAUGAUAUUUGGAGGCAGAGAGAUCCCAGAGGUGCGUGUGCAUAGAGGAAAGGCCACAGAGGACACGGCUGGAAGAGACUCCCUGCCAGCCAGAAGGAGCGGCCUCAGAGGAAACAACCCCACCCACCCCUCGAAGUUGGACCUGCAGCUUCCAGAUCUGUGAGAAAAUAAAUGCCUGCCAUGUGGGCACCUGGCCUGGGACAUCUUCUAUGGAGGCCACAGCAUGAAAGGGUCAUUUUUAUGGAGAAUCUCAUUCUCUAAAACUUACAGCCAUUUAUCGCAGAAGCUAUGGAUAAAGCUGGUUUCAGGGUACAAUGCACAGUCUCAGGAGUCAGGCUUGCAGAGAAGUCCAUUUCGGAAACAAUGUUGUGUGGCCUGACUGCUUUUCCUCCCUGGCUCCUGGCCUCUGUUUUAGCUGGGUAGGACAUGAAUGACCCAAUUCAUAGGAUGAAAUUUACAAAGGAUGUUUCUCAAAACUUCGGGUUUUCAACUUACAUAUAUUCACACCUGUUUAGGUUGAGUUUAUUUAUCGAUUUAUUUUCAGGCAGGGUCUCUAUCUGUUGCCCAGACCCGAGUUCAGUGGCGCGAUCUCUGUUCACUCCAGCCUCCACCUCUCGGGCUCAAGUAAUCCUCCCACUUCAGCCUCCCAAGUAGCUUGGACUACAGAUGCAUGCCACCACAUCUGGCUUUUUUUUUUUUUUUUUUUU
rnacentral:lncRNA from 10 species